CUCGGUGUGGCGCAGUUGGCAGCGCGCGUGCUUUGGGAGCAUGAGGCCGUCCGUUCGAUCCGGACCACCGAGACCA
rnacentral:tRNA from 1 species